CUCCCCUGCGACGUAGUUUUUAACUAUUUGGAGCCGGGCACCCAAGUGAAGUAGCCUGCUCCGGUAAACUUCCUUGUUCGGACACCUAUACCCCAAAUCCUCCUUCAUGGACUCAAAUUUACCACUACAAAUGGACAAUUCAGUUUCUACAUUCCCUUGAAACGAACGGAUGACAGGUUCGGAGCUGCUCUGCUCCAUGGACAAAAAUCCCCGCAAUCGACGACGCCUCUUCGAACCCGAUUGAUCCGAUUCAGGAGGGAUAAUAACACCACGGGAGUUCAGUUCAAAGUCGAUCUCAUCGAGUUCUAAAUGAUCGGCACGCAAUUGAAAAUAGGCGACGUUGAACUCCCCCAACGUCAAAGUAUGGAGUGCCAUUUUGAUGAAUGAACAACAAAAGUCUUCAAAAUAUGGACGAAAUUGAGACUUACCAACUGAUCAGUUGCCAAAUUAAGUCAGAUGUCACCCCAAAUCAGCCCAGAAGAAUCAAAAAUCCCGCCCUGAGAACAAAGAGACCCAAAAUGUCCCAAUUCGUUCCGCAGACGAGACGGUUCACCGAUUUAGUUUAAAAACGAACAA